rnacentral:rRNA from 1 species
UGGGUAACCUGCCUCAAAGAGGGGAAUAGCCUCCCGAAAGGGAGAUUAAUACCGCAUAAUAUGUUUAAGUCGCAUGACUUUAACAUCAAAGGAUUUUCUUUUAGAAAUUCCACUUUGAGAUGGACCCGCGGUGCAUUAGCUAGUUGGUGAGGUAACGGCUCACCAAGGCAACGAUGCGUAGCCGACCUGAGAGGGUGAUCGGCCACAUUGGAACUGAGACACGGUCCAGCUCCUAGGAGG